AUGUUCCGCCGCGCUACAUCCACUUUCCUCUCCCGCGCCGCCACUCGCCGCUUCUCCACCGACGUGGCUACCCCCACCACCAAUUCCUCCUUCGUUGAAGCGUGGAGGAAAGUUAGCCCCAAUAUCGAUCCACCUAAGACGCCUCUCGAAUUCCUCAAAACUCGUCCACCUGUUCCUUCUACAAACUUCUACAAACUUCUAUCAUACCAAAGUUAUACUUGGUUGCUACCAAUCUAUUUUGUCGUGUCUUUAGGAUGUUACGGUCUAUUAAUGGUUGGAGUUUUAGAAAGAUGA